rnacentral:rRNA from 1 species
CUAAGAAUAUUCCGCAAUGGACGGAAGUCUGACGGAGCGACGCCGCGUGGAUGACGAAGGCCGAAAGGUUGUAAAGUUCUUUUGCUGGGGAAGAAUAACCGCAGGAGGGAAUGCCUGUGGGAUGACAAGAACCGGCGAAUAAGCCCCGGCCAACUACGUGCCAGCAGCCGCGGUAACACGUAGGGGGCGAGCGUUGUUCGGAAUUACUGGGCGUAAAGGGCAUGUAGGCGGCUUGGAAAGCCUGGCGUGAAAGUCUGCAGCUUAACUGCAGGGGUGCGCUGGGAACUGCUGAGCUUGAGUGACGGAGAGGGAGCUGGAAUUCCUGGUGUAGGGGUGAAAUCUGUAGAUAUCAGGAAGAACACCGAUGGCGAAGGCAAGCUCCUGGCCGAUGACUGACGCUGAGGUGCGAAAGUGUGGGGAUCAAAACAGGAUUAGAUACCCUGGUAGUCCACACAGUCAACGAUGUGCACUAGGUGCUGGGGCGGUAGCUUCGGUGCCGGAGCGAACGUGGUAAGUGCACCGCCUGGGGAGUAUGCUCGCAAGGGUGAAACUCAAAGGAAUUG